UUCUCUCUCGGUCUACUUUUUUUCCCAUCUACAGUUUCUUUCUCUUCUCCGCCGGGAAACCGCUUUCUCCGGCCGGAUACCGCCAUACGCCCUCAUCAGUCUCCGUUUCUCGCCGUAAACAGCUUGUGCUUUAUCUGGUGGAUAUUGUCAGGAUUCUGAUAUCCGUUUGACUCGGUUGCGCGGCGACUCGGAUCUCCGCGUUUGACUCGGUCUGCCUCGGUUGGCGGCAGUUUCUGAAAAUGUGGUUUGCCGUGUUCGCCUGUCAGGCUAUGGCUUGAUUCCGCUGGUUGAGAUCGUGAUCUAGGGUUUCAUAUCUCCUGGAUUUGGCCGGAUUCUGCCGUUGUCCUUUGUUUGUCGCGGUCUGGUUUUCUCCGAGUUGAAGAAAACGGAGUCCUACAGAGAUAGAUUACGGAAUGCCAUGGUGGAAAGGAGGGUCUGCUUGUCCAAAGAGGCUGAGAAUGGUCUAGAAUAUCUGAAACGUAAAAGGCUUCAGAGAAUGAGAUCAGAGUCUGGCAAUGAAACAGUAGGUGUGACCAACAUGAUGACUAGGAGUGGAGGUGAUUCACUGAGAGCAUCAGCAUCAUGUGGUGUGAGAUUACGGUCAAAUGUUAACGAUACAAUCUCCAAACUGAAUGGUGUAUUGAAGCGCAAAGUGGAGAAGUUCGAAACAGAUGAUCUAAAAUGGACCGAGAGACUUCCAGAGUGUCCUGUCUACAAACCAACCAAGGAUGAGUUCGAGGAUCCUUUGAUUUAUUUGCAGAAGAUAGCACCAGAGGCUUCUAAAUUUGGUAUUUGCAAGAUCAUUUCCCCUUUGAUGGCAACAGUUCCUGCCGGAGUUGUCUUGAUGAAAGAGAAAGUAAACUUUAAGUUUACAACCAGAGUACAACCUCUUCGACUCGCUGAGUGGGAUUCUGAAGAUAAAGUUACAUUUUUCAUGAGUGGGAGGAACUAUACAUUUCGUGAUUUCGAGAAAAUGGCAAACAAGGUAUUUGCUCGUAGAUACUGUAGUGGUGGUUCUCUUCCGGAAGUUUUCUUGGAAAAAGAAUUUUGGAGGGAGAUUGCUUGUGGCAAGACAGAAACAGUUGAAUAUGCAUGUGACGUGGAUGGUAGUGCAUUCUCAACUUCGCCUAGUGAUCCACUAGGAAGCAGCAACUGGAACUUGAAGAAAGUUUCGUGGCUGCCAAAGUCCACUCUGCGUCUUCUUGAGACAUCUAUUCCGGGAGUCACUGAACCGAUGCUGUACAUAGGAAUGCUGUUUAGUAUGUUUGCUUGGCAUGUUGAGGAUCAUUAUUUGUACAGCAUUAAUUAUCAACAUUGUGGAGCAUCAAAAACUUGGUAUGGGAUUCCAGGUUCUGCAGCUCUAAAAUUUGAAAAGGUGGUCAGGGAGUGUGUGUACAGUGAUGAUAUCUUGUCCACUACUGGAGAGGAUGGAGCCUUUGAUGUGCUUUUGGGGAAAACAACCCUAUUCCCACCAAACAUUCUCUUGGAUCAUGAUGUGCCUGUUUACAGGACCAUACAAAAGCCGGGGGAGUUUAUUGUUACAUUCCCUAGGGCAUAUCACGCUGGCUUCAGCCAUGGCUUUAAUUGUGGCGAGGCUGUGAAUUUUGCGAUGGGUGACUGGUUUCCUUUCGCAGCUAUUGCCAGUAGCCGUUACGCUCACCUUAAGAGGGUGCCUCUGCUUCCUCACGAGGAAUUGAUUUGCAAAGAAGCAAUGCUUUUAUACACAAGUUCUGGACUCCAAGAUUUGAAUUUUUCGCCAGCAGACUUCUUGGCGCAGCACUGCAUCAAGGUUGCAUUUGUCAAACUGAUACAUUCCUUUCAUUGGGCUUGUUGGUCUUUGAUGAAAUCAAGAUCAUGCACAGGCCUCGCUUCAAAUACGCAUGGUACCAUCGUAUGCAGUCUGUGUAAGCGGGAUUGUUAUUUGGCUUUUAUCAAUUGUGACUGUUAUGCUCACCCUCUGUGUCUCCGCCACCAAGAUAUUAAAACGCUUGACCUCCCAUGCGGGAGGACUCGCACCCUUCUCUUGAGGGAGGACAUCGAAAACAUGGAAGUUGCUGCCAAGAAGUUUGAGGAGGAAGAUGGAGUAUCAGAUACGAUUCAAGGGCAGUUGACGACAGACGAAGACUUGUAUUCAUACCCGAUGUCAAAAACAGUUCCGUCCAUUGGAGGAGAUGGAUACUCUCCUUAUUCCACUAUUGACUUUGACUUCACCCCUGAACUGGAUGUCACAUCUUGUGGCCAGACACAACAUGGAAACCACCACCCUGUCUCGAGCCACGAAGCCGAUGCCUCGUGUCUUUCCUCUGUUGUUGAUGAUUAUGUACAGGGCCGAGCUAACUUUGGCAGUACUGAUUCCAAGCGGACGGAAGAAGUAACAUUCCAAGAGGAGCUUCCAAAUUCUCACCAUGUCCCGAAUGGUGGAACUUUGGUGGAUCAUGAAAGCGAUGGUUCUGAUUCCGAGAUUUUCAGGGUCAAACGUCGUUCUUCUUUGAAGUUUGAGAACCAAACAUUGAUCCUUGAUACGUUGUCAAGGAAUUCUGAGCAUCAGGGGCUUAAACGGCUGAAGAAAUCCCAACAUGAAGGAAGACGCAGCCAAGCUGCUGGAUGGUCUGAGGCUGAAUAUGAUCCCGGCCCCAUCUCAGAAGACCGAAAAGGAAUGUUGUGGCAAAGUCUUUCAGACAACAGACGCAUGAGGGUGAAGGUCAAGAAGAGGUGGAAAUCAUAAUGAAACCAGCGGCAGAGCAAUGAAACAACACAGUCAUUCAGGAGAGGAUAAAAGGGUUCCAUCGGAAUAGCAGAUUCCCUUUGACUACAUUUUUUGUUUUCUUCUUCUUCUUGCUAACAGGAAGUUUGAUUCCACCCAUAAGGAAUGGGAGUGGCUCUAAGACCACAGGAAGAUGAUGCGGAAAGCAACAACGACAGCUCCUCUUCUUCUUCUUUUACUCUCUGAGAUGUAAGAAAAAGAAAGAUAACACAGGGAACACAAAUCUUUGAUUCUUUGUGCAGGGAUGUCCAAAAAUCUAGGAGGCAACCCGCACCUACUUAGUGAAGGAAGUGUGGACUAAUCAAGGGAGCAUGAACAAUCAAAGGGUAUUUCGGGAAUAAAAACGUGGACUGACCUCCCGGUGUAGUGGCAGAGAGGCCCGAAAACAAAAACUUAAUUAAUGUGGUGGUGUGUCCUUUUAAUAAAUUAAACAAUUUAAUAUUCUGUCAUGUUACAUGUGCAAAUACAACUGAAAAAACGAAUCAAUAGUCAACAUUUUCAUAA